rnacentral:rRNA from 1 species
UUUUACCGGUUGACCUCGGAUCAGGUAGGG